rnacentral:rRNA from 1 species
AUUGAACGCUGGCGGCAGGCCUAACACAUGCAAGUCGAACGGUAGCACAGAGAGCUUGCUCUCGGGUGACGAGUGGCGGACGGGUGAGUAACGUCUGGGAAACUGCCCGAUGGAGGGGGAUAACUACUGGAAACGGUAGCUAAUACCGCAUAACGUCGCAAGACCAAAGUGGGGGACCUUCGGGCCUCACACCAUCGGAUGUGCCCAGAUGGGAUUAGCUAGCAGGUGGGGUAAUGGCUCACCUAGGCGACGAUCCCUAGCUGGUCUGAGAGGAUGACCAGCCACACGGGAACUGAGACACGGUCCAGACUCCUACGGGAGGCAGCAGUGGGGAAUAUUGCACAAUGGGCGCAAGCCUGAUGCAGCCAUGCCGCGUGUAUGAAGAAGGCCUUCGGGUUGUAAAGUACUUUCAGCGGGGAGGAAGGCGGUGAAGUUAAUAGCUUCACCGAUUGACGUUACCCGCAGAAGAAGCACCGGCUAACUCCGUGCCAGCCGCCGCGGUAA